UACGGGGGGGGCAAGCGUUGUUCGGAAUUACUGGGCGUAAAGGGCUCGUAGGCGGCCAAUUAAGUCCGACGUGAAAUCCCCAGGCUUAACCUGGGAACUGCGUCGGAUACUGAUUGGCUUGAAUCCGGGAGAGGGAUGCGGAAUUCCAGGUGUAGCGGUGAAAUGCGUAGAUAUCUGGAGGAACACCGGUGGCGAAGGCGGCAUCCUGGACCGAGAUUGACGCUGAGGCGCGAAAGCCAGGGGAGCAAACGGGG
rnacentral:rRNA from 1 species